AACGAACGCUGGCGGCAUGCCUAACACAUGCAAGUCGAACGAGACCUUCGGGUCUAGUGGCGCACGGGUGCGUAACGCGUGGGAACCUGCCCUUAGGUUCGGAAUAACUCCCCGAAAGGGGUGCUAAUACCGGAUAAUGUCUUCGGACCAAAGAUUUAUCGCCUUUGGAUGGGCCCGCGUUGGAUUCGCUAGUUGGUAGGGUAAAAGCCUACCAAGGCGACGAUCCAUAGCUGGUCGGAGAGGAGGAUCAGCCACACUGGGACUGAGACACGGCCCAGACUCGUACGGGAGGCAGCAGUGGGGAAUAUUGGACAAGGGGCGAAAGCCUGACCCAGCAAUGCCGCGGGAGUGAGGAAGGCCUUAGGGUUGUAAAGCUCUUUUACCCGGGAUGAUAAUGACAGUACCGGGAGAAUAAGCACCGGCUAACUACGUG
rnacentral:rRNA from 1 species